rnacentral:rRNA from 1 species
UGGGGAAUUUUGGACAAUGGGGGAAACCCUGAUCCAGCCAUCCCGCGUGUGCGAUGAAGGCCUUCGGGUUGUAAAGCACUUUUGGCAGGAAAGAAACGUCGCGGGUUAAUACCCCGCGAAACUGACGGUACCUGCAGAAUAAGCACCGGCUAACUACGUGCCAGCAGCCGCGGUAAUACGUAGGGUGCAAGCGUUAAUCGGAAUUACUGGGCGUAAAGCGUGCGCAGGCGGUUCGGAAAGAAAGAUGUGAAAUCCCAGAGCUUAACUUUGGAACUGCAUUUUUUAACUACCGGGCUAGAGUGUGUCAGAGGGAGGUGGAAUUCCGCGUGUAGCAGUGAAAUGCGUAGAUAUGCGGAGGAACACCGAUGGCGAAGGCAGCCUCCUGGGAUAACACUGACGCUCAUGCACGAAAGGUGGGGAGCAAACAGGAUUAGAUACCCUGGUAGUCCACGCCCUAAAACGAUGUCAACUAGCUGUUGGGGGCCUUCGGGCCUUUGGUGCGCAGCUAACGCGUGAAGUUGACCGCCUGGGGAGUACGGUCGGCAAGAUUAAAACUC